UUAAAAUUAAAAAAUUUGGCGGUAUUUUAGUCUGUUCAGAGGAACCUGUUUUUUGAUUGAUAAUCCACGAUAAUUUGUACUUUAGUUUUAAAUUUGCAUAUCGUCGUUUGUAAAAAUUUUAGGAUAUAAUUUUUUCAGAUCAAGGUGUAGUUUAUAUUAAAGUUAAAAUGGGUUACAUUAAAAAUUUUAAAUAAAAUGGAUUUGAUAGUAAGCUCUAAAAUAUGUACAUAUCGCCCGUCGCUUUCGUUUUAAGAUGAAAUAAGUCGUAACAAAGUAGGCUUAUUGGAAAAUGAGCCUGGAAUGCAAAUUAGAGCUUGGUAAGCAUUUUAUUUACAUUAAAGGGUUAAUUGUGAAAUUCAAUUUAAUUUGAUCAUAAAGUGUUAUUUUUUUUGUUAUUUAUUUUACUUUGGAGGAAAUAUUUUUUUGUCUUUUUUUUUUUUUGAAAUGAUUUUAUUAUAGUUUAAAGUAUUGUGAAAGAAUUGGUUUUAGAUUUUAUAAGUAAAUUUUUUUUGUUGUACCUUGUGUAUCAGGGUUUAUUUAUUUGGUUGUCCCGAAUUUAGAAGAGCUAUUUUUACUGUAGCAAAAGUAUUUUUAAUUUUUUUAUAGGGAUUAAAUGUUAUUCGUUUCUAAAAAUAUCUGGUUUUUCGAGAAAUUAAUUAAAUUAAUUUGAUGUUAGGGAUUGUAUUAUGGGAUUAGCUUUUGAAUAAAUUUUUAAAAAUUUCUUUUUUUUAAUUUUUUGUAGGAUUGGAAUUUUCUAUCAGUUGGAGGAUGUUAUAGUUAAUUGUUUUAAUUUUUUAUUGAAAUGUUUAUUUUAACUUUAGUUGUUAAGCAAUAAUGAUAGAAUUAGUAAGGUAAUUAAAAGGAAUUCGGCAAAUAUUGUUUCCACCUGUUUAUUAAAAACAUGUCCUUUUGUUUGUUAUUUAAGGUCAGGCCUGCCCAAUGAUUUAAUGGCCGCAGUAUUUUGACUGUGCAAAGGUAGCAUAAUCAUUAGUUUUUUAAUUGGAAGCUUGUAUGAAGGGUUUGAUGAGAAAUAAGCUGUCUCUGGAAUUUGAUUUUUGAGUAAAAAAGCUUAAAUUUGAUAUAAAGACGAGAAGACCCUAUAGAGUUUUUUUGUUGGGGUGAUGUAAAAAUUUAAUUAACUUUUUAUA
rnacentral:rRNA from 1 species